AAAAACCCAAAACCAGCAGACCCCAGGCUCUCCAGGAGUUUGACACCCCUGCUCUAAAUCUUCCUGUGGAACAGAGAGAUUGCACCACACAUCCAGAGCCCUCACCUCCUCCCUGUAGGCUGUCUCGUCAUCGUUGAUGGGAUAGGGCACUGUGCAGAGUGAUGGAGAUUGCAUCGUCUGUGGAUCUAUUGGGGCGGAGAGGAGGACCCGGGAGAGAACAGAGGGAUUGCGGCAAGACUCAUCUCUUCUGUAACGCCAUCAUCAAAUCUGAUUAGCACUUCAAAACUACUCCUGUAGUACACUAUAGAGACUCAUUUGUUAAAACGAAGGGAAGUGA